UCCUGGCUCAGGAUGAACGCUGGCGGCGUGCUUAAUACAUGCAAGUCGAGCGAAGCACUUCAGCAGAUCCCUCGGGGUGAAGCCGGUGUGACUAGUGGCGGACGGGUGAGUAACGCGUGGGUAACCUGCCUUAUACAGGGGGAUAACAGCUGGAAACGACUGCUAAUACCCCAUAAGCGCACGGCACCGCAUGAUGCAGUGUGAAAAGAUUUAUCGGUAUAAGAUGGACCCGCGUCUGAUUAGUUAGUUGGCGGGGUAACGGCCCACCAAGACCGCGAUCAGUAGCCGACUUGAGAGAGUGAUCGGCCACAUUGGGACUGAGACACGGCCCAGACUCCUACGGGAGGCAGCAGUAGGGAAUAUUGCACAAUGGGGGAAACCCUGAUGCAGCCGACGCCGCGUGAGUGAUUGAAGUAUUUCGGUAUGUAAAGCUCUAUCAGCAGGGAAGAUAAUGACGGUACCUGACUAAGAAGCCCCGGCUAACUACGUGCCAGCCGCCGC
rnacentral:rRNA from 1 species